rnacentral:rRNA from 1 species
CCUACGGGUGGCAGCAGUGAGGAAUAUUGGUCAAUGGGCGCGAGCCUGAACCAGCCAAGCAGCGUGAAGGAUGACUGCCCUACGGGUUGUAAACUUCUUUUAUAAAGGAAUAAAGUGAGGCACGUGUGCCUGUUUGAGUGUACUUUAUGAAUAAGCAUCGGCUAACUCCGUGCCAGCAGCCGCGGUAAUACUGAGGAUGCGAGCGUUAUCCGGAUUUAUUGGGUUUAAAGGGAGCGUAGAUGGGUUGUUAAGUCAGGUGUGAAAGGUCGGGGCUCAACCGUAAAAUUGCAGUUGAUACUGGCAGCCUUGAGUAGAGGUGAGGUAUGCGGAAUGCGUGGUGUAGCGGUGAAAUGCUUAGAUAUCGCGAAGAACUCCGAUUGCGAAGGCAGCAUAC